rnacentral:lncRNA from 10 species
AUCUGUGAUUAUGAUAGUUACUGUAAAAGCUGAAGCGAGGAGGAAACCACGGACAAAGAUUUUGGCAGGAAGAGAAUAUCAGAGCUUUCCAUGUGAACAAGGAACUGCAUUAGACCACAUGGAAAGUCCAUGUGCUUCACACUUCAAUCAAUCCUCACAAAACACACUUUCCCAUGCUGUGAAUUCAUUUAGUCCACCAUGAAAGCAAUAAGAGAGAAGCUAUAAAAUCAUAAUUGCCUGCCUCGCUGCUGUGUCCGUCUUUCAAAAAGUCAACAGAGC